rnacentral:tRNA from 1 species
GCCACCGUAGCGCAGAGGUUAGCGUGUCCGCCUAUGACGCUGAAAGCCUGGGUUUGAAUCCUGGCGAAACCA